rnacentral:misc_RNA from 1 species
GAUGAAGAACGUAGCGAAAUGCGAUACUUGGUGUGAAUUGCAGAAUCCCGUGAACCAUCGAGUCUUUGAACGCAAGUUGCGCCCGAAGCCACUAGGCCGAGGGCACGCCUGCCUGGGCGUCACACGUCGUUGCCCCCCCAUCUACUCCUUCGGGAUUGCGGGGGGGCGGAUGAUGGCCUCCCGUGCGCCUAGCCGCGCGGUUGGCAUAAAUACCAAGUCCUCGGCGACGCACGCCACGACAAUCGGUGGUUGCGAAACCUCGGUUGCCCGUCGUGUGCGUUCGUCGCGCAUCGAGGGCUCGAAAAAAUGCUCGGCUUCGGCUCGGCUUUCAACGCGACCCCAGGUCAGGUGGGGUUACCCGCUGAAUUUAAGCAUAUCAAUAAGCGGAGGA